rnacentral:rRNA from 1 species
UGGGGAAUCUUCCGCAAUGGACGAAAGCCUGACGGAGCAACGCCGCGUGAGUGAAGAAGGCCUUCGGGUCGUAAAGCUCUGUUGUCAGGGAAGAAAGGUACUUUUGUGAAUAAUGGGAGUAAAUGACGGUACUUGACGAGGAAGCCACGGCUAACUACGUGCCAGCAGCCGCGGUAACACGUAGGUGGCAAGCGUUAUCCGGAAUUAUUGGGCGUAAAGGGUGCGUAGGCGGCAUGAUAAGUCUGAAGUAAAAGCCAAUGGCUCAACCAUUGUAAGCUUUGGAAACUGUCAAGCUAGAGUACAGGAGAGGUUAGUGGAAUUCCAUGUGUAGCGGUAAAAUGCGUAGAUAUAUGGAGGAACACCAGUGGCGAAGGCGGCUAACUGGCCUGUAACUGACGCUGAAGCACGAAAGCGUGGGGAGCAAAUA